UUCUUUUUUUUCGGGUCGGGUACCCGUCCCGCUAAAAUAGCAGUUCUGUGGGCUGGGACAUGGGACAAACUUCUCGGGUACCCGGAUACCUGUUUAAGAAAAAAAAAUUAUAGAAGUUAACCAGCCAGGCCAGCCCAGCCCACUUACUAAGUAUACGGUAUACCCAGUAGGCCAGUACCCAACUACCCACCCUAUCUUCUUCUCUUUCUUUUUAUAUCCUCAUCCUCCUCUUUCUCUCUCCUCUUCCCCCCUGUUACUCUCUUUCUCUCUCCUCUUGAUAAUGAAAAUUGUGAUAAUGGAAUUUCAAAGGAUAUGUAAUGUUUGAUGUUUUUACGCUUCUUUUCGACGAGAUUUCCGUGGAUUUCUCGGCGAGGAAAUGGAGGAAUAACUCGGUUGCGCCGGAGACCCAUAGAAACCCACCACCGAGCAACCCAGAACAACCACGUCCCACCUCACUCUAACGUUUUUCAGAUCUAAAUUUAAUUUAGAAUGUGCAUUUUGGCAGGUGUGGCUGGGCUGCCUUGGUGCGUGGUGGAAUUGGUGGCUGGUGGCUAUCGAUUGUUGGUGGUUGGUGGCUGCCUAGAAUUUGGACAUUAGCAAAGCGUUUCAUCUAUAUUUAUUUACUUAUUUUUACUUUGCAAUUUAUUUAAGUUGAAGCAGUUGGAUUUGGUUUGGUUGCAAUUGCAUGUGAUGAAAUUGGACUUUGAAAUAACAUUUUAUCUGCUAGAA